GUGCUUCAUACAUUGUCAGACAAUAAGCAAUAUCACAUGGCACUCUCCAAAUUCUCCAAAAAUUAAUAAUAAGACAUGAGGAAGAGCAAAGGGAAAGCAACAGCUAUGGCCAAGAAAAAA